AUUACUCAAAAUUAAUAACCAGAACCAAAAUUUUCACGCAAUUUUGAAGCCUUCUUUAUUAUCUUUUCUUAAUUUAGAAUCAACGGUACUUGUGUCAGUGGUGCCGAUGGUAGAAUGUGCUGUUGGUAGUGAUAGUGAUAGUUACCAUGGUGGUCCCAGUAUCAUAGAAAAGGAAUGGUUUUGGAAGUAAUGGUAGCAUGCACAUAAGUUGUGGAAAUGAGGGUAGUGAUUGAAUUGUGAGAAACUACUGAUAAUCUAUAAGGAAAAACAACAGAACACAAGUUUUCAUCAUCCACCUCCAAAAAAG
rnacentral:misc_RNA from 1 species